AGGUGAAAGAAUCGAAACGAGAGAGAGACGAGCAGAGUCCUUGCUACAGUUGCCGACAAGAUGCAGCCCACGAAAUCUGCCCAUCAUGUAAGGAGGCAAUGAAAGGCGUUCGAGUUCCCAAGAAGCGAGAGUUGUCGGACGGCGAUUAUGGAGGCUUAUCGGAGGAGUUGGUACGCACUCUCUCUCAAC